CCUGGAUGCCGCGUACCUCCUGCGAUCGGCUGCUCCUUCUGUAUCUACUUGGGCCGCGUUUGGUCUCGUGGAUUCGUUGUCCCUCCUGCAACUGCAGUGCCAUUUCUCGGCAGAUUCGUAGGUUCUCAGAAGGUCUAGCUUGGUUUAGUGGUUCGCGCAUAUGCGACCGUCGGCGCGGUCAGGCUGGCCGACCGGCGGCGGCGUGGCGCGGCAAGGCGCUGGGUCUGCCGUGAGGGGCAAAGCUGGCAGUGGCGCGUCAGCCACUCGCGGCAGGCGCGGAGUCGCGCGUGUAGGAAUUCUGAAUGUCUCUAGCAUGUGACAGGGUAGAAAUUCGGCUCCUCAAAUGUGUUAUUCCGUCUUAGGCUGUUGAUAUUGCCUCAAGAUUUAUGCUUCCUCUCAGCUUGGUCGUUAUUAUGGUAAGGGAUUAUGUUGGCACAUUGAUGCAACAUGAAUAAUCGUGUAGGUAGUGACUUGUGCAUCUGUAGGAGAUGGAUGACAAAAACUAGACCACAAGAGAUGUAACUUUUCUCCCCUUUAGUACUUCCCUGAAUUUAGCCCCGUGGGACUGGUUAUACCCAGUUGGAUCUGUGGAGUUCAUGUCAGUUUCGUAGGGGUCUAUGUGAAAUGUGAUAUUCAUGAAAAAGAUUUUGACAUUUUGUGAUUUUGCAGUCUGCUUGUGAUAAUUAUUAGUGACUCCUUUCCUGUAUGUGAUUAUGUCUGGAUUAUAGGGUUCUAGUAAAACUAUAUUUACCCUUUUCUUGCUAAAAGAAGACUAAUAUUUCCAGACUAAUAUUCUCUGCUGCUUUUGCUCAACACCUCUUCUGUUUCUGAGCUCCGGACCACUACUGGAAAUCGUGUCUUUGGUGCCCUUAAGGGAGCUCUGGAUGGUGGGCUUGACAUUCCACAGUGACAUAAGGUUUGCUGGUUUCCAGAAGGAUGAGAAGUAGUUGGAUGUGGAGAUUCACCGCGAUUACAUCUAUGGAGGUCAUGUUUCUGACUACACGAGUCACUUGCUGAGGAAGAACCUGAGAAGUACCAACAGCACUUCAGUCAGUACAUCAAGAAAGGAACUGGGGCUGAUGACACAGAAGGUUGUGCUGCCAUUUUUGCCGAUCCUUCCAUGGCCAAGCUAACCAAGAAAUCCCUGAAGGACACACAAGAGGUACAAGCUUAAGAAGCUGACCUAUCUGCAAAGGAAGGCCAGUCUGGCUGAACGCGCUCAACUCAUCCGCUGGAGCUGCUGCUUAUUCGAAUGAGGACGGUGAGUGAAGAGUGUAGUCAACUGUAGUAGCAUUGUCAGCAUACUUUGAAACCUGUAGUUGCUAUAUGGCAUCUACCAGUAGCUGUAGUGAAGAUGCAAAGACAUUUUUGUUUCAGCACUCUGAUCAAUGAUCCUGUUUCUUCCAAUUGAGUAUCAUGCUGGGGUUAUGCAUUGUGUCGAUUAUACAGCAUGUUGUUGUUUAGA